rnacentral:rRNA from 1 species
GUCCACGCCCUAAACGAUGUCAACUGGUUGUUGGUCUUAACUGACUCAGUAACGAAGCUAACGCGUGAAGUUGACCGCCUGGGAGUACGGCCGCAAGGUUGAAACUCAAAGGAAUUGACGGGACCCGCACAAGCGGUGGAUGAUGUGGUUUAAUUCGAUGCAACGCGAAACCUUACCACCUUUGACAUGUACGAAGAUUCAGAGAUGGAUUUGUGCUCGAAAGAGAACCGUAACACAGGUGCUGCAUGGCUGUCGU